UACGAACCGUGCGAACGUUAUUCGGAAUCACUGGGCUUAAAGCGCGUGUAGGCGGUGCGGCACGUCGGCCGUUGAAAUCCCCCGGCUCAACCGGGGAAGUGGCGCCGAUACGACCGCCCUGGAGGAACGUAGGGGGAGCUGGAACUUCCGGUGGAGCGGUGAAAUGCGUUGAGAUCGGAAGGAACGCCCGUGGCGAAAGCGAGCUCCUGGACGUUUUCUGACGCUGAGACGCGAAAGCCAGGGGAGCGAACGGG
rnacentral:rRNA from 1 species